UUGGAAAAUGGAAAAAUGGGAAAAAUAUCCGGAAAAAUAGCAAAGUAAGUACAUUAUACACUAAUUAGGAUAUAGUUAAACGAUGUGUAUAAGAAAUUAAGUUGCAAUUUAUAUAAUUGUACGCGAAAAUAGAAAUUUUCUUUUUUACAGGUUACGUGUUUCGACAAGUCCAGGUGAGAGAUUUUUUUCGAAUAAAAGCAGGUAAAAAGAGAAGUAUUUUAAUUAAAGUGCGCUCUUCUGUAAAUAGUAGUAGUAGUAGUAGUAAUAGCAGUAGUAGUAGCAGUAGUAUGUAGUAGAAGUAGUCGGGGUAGUAGUAGUAAAUAUUAUGUAUGUAAUAUUUGACAAAUUUUUCUAUUAUUCCAUUAUUAUUCAUUGAUUUGUCUUUUCAUGCUACAUGUUCCCGGACAACUUCUAUUCUCCGGACUCUCCCAGGCUCCCCAAAAAGAGUGUCCAUGGACAACCCAAUGGAUUGUCAAUGGAUUCGUCCCAUGUGUCCCAUGGACUUUUCUUGUUUUUUUCUUAUAUUCUGUAAUAUUCUUACAGCUACAUGUUCCCGGCGUUCCCGGACAACUAUCUUACGGAUACUCCCACGUUACAAAAGCUCGCCAAAGAGAACUAUCAGCAUUUAUGACGAAGGGAAUGGAGAAAAGAAAAGACCGUGCCUUGGAAAACAGAAGUAGGAGAGCAUUCCGUGUCUUGGAAAACAGAAAUUGCAGAGCAUCCCGUGUCUUGGAAUACAGGAGUUGCAGAACAUCUCAAAGACCCAGGACGUCAGAGUUCAACCGCCGAAGGACAAAGUAUCAUACAUGUAAGAUUUAUAUAUAUAAUUUUUAAAUAAAAAAAUAAAAAAUUAA